CCUACGGGUGACAGCAGUGGGGAAUAUUGCACAAUGGGGGAAACCCUGAUGCAGCGACGCCGCGUGAGUGAAGAAGUAAUUCGUUAUGUUAAGCUCUAUCAGCAGGGAAGAAAAUGACGGUACCUGAGUAAGAAGCCCCGGCUAACUACGUGCCAGCAGCCGCGGUACUACGGAGGGGGCCAGCGUUAUCCGGAUUUACGGGGUGUAAUGGGAGCGUAGUCGGCAGUGCAAGUCUGGAGUGAAAGGCGGGGGCUUAACCCCCGGACUGCUUUGGAAACUGUACGACUGGAGAGCAGGAGAGGUAGGUGGAAUGACUAGUGUAGCGGUGAAAUGCGUAGAUAUUAGGAGGAACACCGGUGGCGAAGGCAGCUUGCUAAACUGUAACUGACGUUGAGGCACGAAAGCGUGGGUAGCGAACAGGAUUAGAUACCCGGGUAGUC
rnacentral:rRNA from 1 species